UGAGAUGGUUGGAAAUAGUCUUGACCACU
rnacentral:piRNA from 1 species